rnacentral:tRNA from 3 species
GAUUCGUUAGCAUAAUUGGUAAUGCACCUAACUUUUAAUUAGGGUAAUAGGUGUUCAAAUCACCUACGAAUCACCA